rnacentral:rRNA from 1 species
AAUGAACGUUGGCGGCGUGGAUUAGGCAUGCAAGUCGAGCGAGAAGUUCCUUCGGGAACGGACAGCGGCGAAAGGGAGAGGAAUACGUAGAAAUCUACCCCUGAGACCGGGAUAGCGUCGGGAAACUGGCAGUAAUACCGGAUAACGUCUUAGGACCAAAGGUGUGAUUCCACUUGGGGAUGAGUCUACGCCCUAUUAGCUAGUUGGUGGGGUAAUGGCCUACCAAGGCAAUGAUGGGUAGCGGGUGUGAGAGCAUGACCCGCCUCACUGGGACUGAGAACUGCCCAGACACCUACGGGUGGCUGCAGUCGAGAAUCUUUGUCAAUGGACGAAAGUCUGAACAAGCGACGCCGCGUGCGGGAUGAAGGCC